CAUCAUCAUCAUCAUCAUCAUCUAUAUCAUUAUCAACAUUAACGCUACCGAUACUACUACCUCGACCACCACAGCAUCCAUCUACCAUCAUCGCUGUUCCCAUCACCGAUACCACUGCCAUUAUUUGUUUUCAUUAGCAUAAAGAUGAAAGAGUUUCGCGUGAGGCUUAAUGACGUGAUAAAUGCUGCGAACCUCGCAGUGGCUGUUACUUCAGACCGCGCGCCACUCAUACUGAAAUCAUUUUCUGAUGAGGAUUUCAGGCUGGACGACGAAGAUGCGAAAGAAAAACUUAAAAUUAACAGCGUUGACGCAAUAUCGACAG